UACGGGGGGGCGAAGCGUUGUUCGGAAUUACUGGGCGUAAAGGGCUCGUAGGCGGCCAACUAAGUCAGACGUGAAAUCCCUCGGCUUAACCGGGGACUGCGUCUGAUACUGGAUGGCUAGAGGUUGGAGAGGAUGCGGAAUUCCAGGUGUAGCGGUGAAUGCGCAGAUAUCAGGAGGAACACCGAUGGCGAAGGCAGGUCUCUGGCCACUACUGACGCUGAGAAGCGAAGCAUGGGAGCGAAGCAGG
rnacentral:rRNA from 1 species